UACGUAGGGUGCGAGCGUUAAUCGGAAUUACUGGGCGUAAAGCGUGCGCAGGCGGUUCGUUAUGUCCGAUGUGAAAGCCCCGAGCUCAACUUGGGAAUGGCAUUGGAAACUGGCGGGCUGGAGUGUGGCAGAGGGGGGUGGAAUUCCACGGUGUAGCAGUGAAAUGCGUAGAGAUGUGGAGGAACACCAGUGGCGAAGGCGGCUCACUGGCCCGGUACUGACGCUGAUGUGCGAAAGCGUGGGGAGCAAACGG
rnacentral:rRNA from 1 species